rnacentral:rRNA from 1 species
AACUAACGCUGGCGGCGUGCCUAACACAUGCAAGUCGUACGAGAAAGCCGGCUUCGGCUGGUGAGUAAAGUGGCGCACGGGUGAGUAACGCGUGGAUAAUCUGCCCUUAAGUGUGGAAUAACGUACCGAAAGGUGCGCUAAUACCGCAUAAUGCCUGGCAACACAAGUUGUCCGGCCAAAGAAGGCCUCUGUUUACAAGCUUUCGCUUCAGGAUGAGUCCGCGUACCAUUAGUUUGUUGGUGGGGUAAUGGCCUACCAAGGCUGCGAUGGUUAGCUGGUCUGAGAGGAUGAUCAGCCACACUGGAACUGAGACACGGUCCAGACUCCUACGGGAGGCAGCAGUGAGGAAUAUUGCGCAAUGGGGGCAACCCUGACGCAGCAACGCCGCGUGAGUGAGGAAGGUUUUCGGACUGUAAAGCUCUGUCGAGCGGGAAGAAGUGUACCAUGGCUAAUAUCCAUGAUAUUUGAGGUACCGCUAGAGGAAGCACC